rnacentral:rRNA from 1 species
CGCGUAGGCGGCCUGGCAAGUCGGAUGUGAAAGCCCGGGGCUCAACCCCGGAGGUGCAUCCGAAACUUUCAGGCUGGAGGCCGGAAGAGGAGGGUGGAAUACCCAGUGUAGAGGUGAAAUUCGUAGAUAUUGGGUGGAACACCGGUGGCGAAAGCGACUCUCUGGUCCGGACCUGACGCUGAGGCGCGAAAGCGUGGGGAGCAAACA